rnacentral:rRNA from 1 species
CCUACGGGUGGCAGCAGUGGGGAAUAUUGCACAAUGGGGGAAACCCUGAUGCAGCAACGCCGCGUGAGUGAUGAAGGCCUUCGGGGGGUAAAGCUCUGUCUUCAGGGACGAAAAUGACGGUACCUGAGGAGGAAGCCACGGCCAACGACGUGCCAUCAGCCGCGGUAAUACGUAGGGGGCGAGCGUUGUCCGGAGUUACUGGGCGUAAAGGGAGCGGAGGCGGAGUUGUAAGUGAGAUGUGAAAACCUCGGGCUCAACUUGAGUGCUGCAUUUCAAACUGGAAGUCUUGAGUGCAGGAGAGGAGAGUGGAAUUCCUGGUGUAGCGGUGAAAUGCGUAGAGAUUAGGAAGAACACCAGUGGCGAAGGCGAUUCUCUGGACUGUAACUGACGCUGAGGCUCGAAAGCGUGGGGAGCAAACAGGAUUAGAUACCCCUGUAGUC